UCUGGAACUCUUUGUAACACCUACCAGUGACUAUUGGAAACUCAGGUCUCCUCCUGACACCUGAGGCUGGUGUGUCUGCCCUGCCCCUGACCCUGUAACAGACCCAGAAGAAGGGGAGAAGAAAGAGGAAGCCUAAGAAGCUGGUGAUUACAUGUGAAGCCUGGCAGAUCUGUAAUCCUGGACUCCAUUAAACAUCUGUCUCCUCCAAUCUCCCUGACA